rnacentral:tRNA from 4 species
GUAACGGGUAGCUCAAUGGGAGAGCGCCAAUUUUGCCCGAAAGGGCCGAAGAAUUGAGGGUUAUCGUCUUCUAAACGAACCCCACCCUUGAUUCACCGGAGGUUGCGGGUUCAAAUCCCGCUCCGCUACACCA